UACGUAGGGUGCGAGCGUAAUCGGAAUUACUGGGCGUAAAGCGUGCGCAGGCGGUUCGUUGUGUCGGCGGUGAAAGCCCCGGGCUUAACCUGGGAAUGGCCGUUGAAACUGGCGAACUGGAGUGUGGCAGAGGGGGGUGGAAUUCCACGUGUAGCAGUGAAAUGCGUAGAGAUGUGGAGGAACACCGAUGGCGAAGGCAGCCCCCUGGGCUGAGAUUGACGCUCAGGCACGAAAGCGUGGGGAGCAAACAGG
rnacentral:rRNA from 1 species